rfam:Cylindrobasidium torrendii FP15055 ss-10 unplaced genomic scaffold CYLTOscaffold_71, whole genome shotgun sequence.
GACUCCUUAACUCAGUGGUAGAGUACGGGAUUGCAGAUCCUGGUGUCGCGUGUUCGAACCACGCAGGGGUCU